UCGCUCCUACCGAUUCGAGUGGUUCGGCGAAUUCUCCGGAUAGGACUCUGUCCUAGAAGUUGUGUAAGCCAUAUCACUUAGAGGAAGGAU
rnacentral:rRNA from 1 species